AUGAUUCACUCAGAUGUUUGGGGACCUUGUGAGGUUCGUUCAAUUUUUGGGCAUCGAUGGUUUGUAACUUUUAUCGAUUGCUUUAGUCGCUACACUUGGCUUUAUCUCCUGAAGCAUAAGAGUGAUGUGUGCUCGGUUUUUAAGGAUUUAUGUGCUCUUAUUAAAAAUCAACAUGGGGCAACUAUUAAAAUCUUACGGUCAGACAAUGGUACGGAAUAUAUUAACCAGGAGUUUGGACAAUUCCUUGCCUCAAACGGCAUUGAACAUCAAAGUACAUGUGUUAACACUCCAGAACAAAAUGGUGUUGUAGAGCGUAAAAAUAGACAUUUGCUUGAGGUUGCACGCUCACUUAUGUUUACCAUGAACGUGCCUAAAUGUCUUUGGGGGGAGGCAAUAAAAACUGCAACAUACUUGAUAAACCGUAUGCCUCUUCGGGUUCUUGGCCAUAAGACCCCUGCUGAGUGUCUUCUUAAAUCUAAUGAUUUUGUAGUUCCUCCAAAGGUCUUUGGGUGUGUUUGCUUUGUGCAUGAUUAUAGGAACUCUGUUGGAAAAUUAGAUCCACGUGCUCUCAAAUGUGUUUUCAUGGGUUAUUCUCCUUCUCAAAAGGGUUACCGGUGUUGGUGUCCUUCGGAGCGCCGGUUUUUUGUGAGCAUGGAUGUGACAUUCCGUGAACAUGAAUCAUAUUAUGGCUCAACCAAUGACACUGGCAUUGCCUUAUCCCCAUCUAAAGUGCAGCGGGAAGGGGAGAGUGGUACUAAAGGAUCUCCAUUAAUCCCUAUUCAUGUUUCCACUUCAAAUGGUUUACCCACUUUAGAUGAUGUUCGAAAUCAAGGGAGGAGACAAAUAGCGAUGGGUGUAAUAAUGGUUCUGAUCAUGGAGACAUACAAGAUGCAUCAGGAGACUCUUCACUUCCUUCACAAGAUGGUGAGCUUGACAUGCAUGAGGACCCAGGUACUAAAAAUUGUUGGAAAUAUGCCCUAG
rnacentral:rRNA from 1 species